UACGAAGGGUGCAAACGUUGCUCGGAAUUAUUGGGCGUAAAGCGCACGUAGGCGGCUUUGCAAGUCCCAUGUGAAAUCCCACGGCUCAACCGUGGAAGUGCAUGGGAAACUGCAGAGCUUGAGUACUUAAGAGGAUCGCGGAAUUCCCGGUGUAGAGGUGAAAUUCGUAGAUAUCGGGAGGAACACCAGUGGCGAAGGCGACUACCUGGCCUGUUCUUGACGCUGAGGCGCGAAAGCUAGGGGAGCAAACAGG
rnacentral:rRNA from 1 species